rnacentral:rRNA from 1 species
GAUGAACGCUGGCGGCGUGCCUAAUACAUGCAAGUCGAGCGAACAGACGAGGAGCUUGCUCCUCUGACGUUAGCGGCGGACGGGUGAGUAACACGUGGAUAACCUACCUAUAAGACUGGGAUAACUUCGGGAAACCGGAGCUAAUACCGGAUAAUAUAUUGAACCGCAUGGUUCAAUAGUGAAAGACGGUUUUGCUGUCACUUAUAGAUGGAUCCGCGCCGCAUUAGCUAGUUGGUAAGGUAACGGCUUACCAAGGCAACGAUGCGUAGCCGACCUGAGAGGGUGAUCGGCCACACUGGAACUGAGACACGGUCCAGACUCCUACGGGAGGCAGCAGUAGGGAAUCUUCCGCAAAGGGCGAAAGCUUGACGGAGCAACGCCGCGUGAGUGAUGAAGGUCUGCGGAUCGUAAAACUCUGUUAUUAGGGAAGAACAAAUGUGUAAGUAACUAUGCACGUCUUGACGGUACCUAAUCAGAAAGCCACGGCUAACUACGUG